UACGGAGGGUGCAAGCGUUAUCCGGAUUCACUGGGUUUAAAGGGUGCGUAGGUGGGUUGGUAAGUCGGUGGUGAAAUCUCCGAGCUUAACUUGGAAACUGCCAUUGAUACUAUCAGUCUUGAAUACCGUGGAGGUCAGCGGAAUAUGUCAUGUAGCGGUGAAAUGCUUAGAUAUGACAUAGAACACCAAUUGCGAAGGCAGCUGACUACGCGAAUAUUGACACUGAUGCACGAAAGCGUGGGGAUCAAACAGG
rnacentral:rRNA from 1 species